UACGAAGGGGGCUAGCGUUGUUCGGAAUUACUGGGCGUAAAGCGCACGUAGGCGGACUAUUAAGUCAGGGGUGAAAUCCCGGGGCUCAACCCCGGAACUGCCUUUGAUACUGGUAGUCUCGAGUCCGGAAGAGGUGAGUGGAAUUCCGAGUGUAGAGGUGAAAUUCGUAGAUAUUCGGAGGAACACCAGUGGCGAAGGCGACUUACUGGACACAUAUUGACGCUGAGGUGCGAAAGCGUGGGGAGCAAACAGG
rnacentral:rRNA from 1 species